GUAGUACCGAGGAAAGUCUGCGCUCCACAGAGCAAGGAUGCCAGUUAACGGCUGGUGGGGGCGACCCUAAGGCCAGUGCAACAGAGAUAUACCGCCAGAAAUGGUAAGGGUGGAAAGGCGAGGUAAGAGCUCACCGGGUUAGUAGAGAUACUAAUGCCAUGUAAACCCCAUCCGGAGCAAGACCGAAUAGGAAUAAGAGUUGCUGCUCGUAACUCCCGGUAGGUUGGUCGCUAAAGUCUAUUGGCGACAAUAGAAUGAGAUAGAUAAUUGACGAAUACAAAACGCAGCUUAUAGACUUACUCU
rnacentral:RNase_P_RNA from 1 species